rnacentral:snRNA from 1 species
GUGCUCGCUUCGGCAGCACAUAUACUAAAAUUGGAACCAUACAGAGAAGGUUAGCAUGGCCACUGUGCAAAGAUCGGCAUGCAAAUUCGUGAAGCUUUCCAUUCGUUG